AGCGAAAUGCGAUACGUAAUAUGAAUUGCAGAUAUUCGUGAAUCAUCGAAUCUUUGAACGCACAUUGCGCCCUUUGGUAUUCCAAAGGGCAUGCCUGUUUGAGCGUCAUUU
rnacentral:rRNA from 1 species